rnacentral:misc_RNA from 1 species
AGCAGCUGUUGUUUCAAGCAUUGCCGGAAAAUUUCCUCCUAAACAUGAUUGAUCAAGCAAAGGCCUCUUUGCUUCAACCACUUUAGCUAUUGCACCCACACAGGCAGAUGGAAGGAAGUCACAUCGUGGUCCAAAUAGCCCAUGUCCAAGAAUGUAUGCUUUUGAUCCAGGGGACGGGCGCAUGAAGUCCACAGUAAUGGGACAGAGCUCAUCUGGAACUAGCUGUAGUUGUAGUAGUGCGACAUCCAGAGGUCCUCUGGAUACAUGAACUACCUCUGCAUUUGUCCAUACCCAAGGAUCCAUAAAAUCCAAGCGAACACGAAUGGUCCUACUGCUGGUGUUUGCCAAGUUAACUCUAAAGCUACCUUGCUCAUUGUUAACAAGGAACUGUGGAGUUUUUAGUUCCUUUUGAAGCAAAUAUUUAUUCCUAUGGUGAAUGGUAAAUUUAUCAUCCCCUGGAUGCUCAGAUUGAUUAGAUGUGGUGAAAACUACAUCAGAUUUGGUGUUAUAACCAUUUACAGAUGUUUUCCCAAAUCUCCACGGCUCUAGAAGAUGAGCAUUUGUAAGCAAUAGACCCUGCUUGUUGAGCAAAACUCCUGAAGCCCAUGCCCCAUCAUCAACAGUGAUAAGACAGAUGGAUGUCAUUGCCUUCUCAAUCAAGGAUGGGGGGACAGAACCUGUUAGGAGAUGCUCUUGAGUGUAAUUGAUGGGUCCGUCCUGAAUACUAUUGGAGCUUGAUUCCUUUUUAACACUGAUUAAGUUUCCAUUAUUAAAAUGGAUCUUUCUACCAGUUUGUCGCUCUUCUUGAAGAUAGCUAGCACAAGCAGAUGUAAUAGCUUCCCAUGGAAUCACCAUCUGAAUUUCAG